GCCGGUGUAGCUCAGUGGUAGAGCAACCGCCUUGUAAGCGGUAGGUCGUCGGUUCGAUCCCGACCCCCGGCU
rfam:Pseudonocardia sp. 73-21 SCNpilot_cont_1000_p_scaffold_321, whole genome shotgun sequence.